rnacentral:rRNA from 1 species
AUUGAACGCUGGCGGCAGGCCUAACACAUGCAAGUCGAGCGGAUGAAGGGAGCUUGCUCCUGGAUUCAGCGGCGGACGGGUGAGUAAUGCCUAGGAAUCUGCCUGGUAGUGGGGGAUAACGUCCGGAAACGGGCGCUAAUACCGCAUACGUCCUGUGGGAGAAAGUGGGGGAUCUUCGGACCUCACGCUAUCAGAUGAGCCUAGGUCGGAUUAGCUAGUUGGUGGGGUAAAGGCAUACCAAGGCGACGAUCCGUAACUGGUCUGAGAGGAGGAUCAGUCACACUGGAACUGAGACACGGUCCAGACUCCUACGGGAGGCAGCAGUGGGGAAUAUUGGACAAUGGGCGAAAGCCUGAUCCAGCCAUGCCGCGUGUGUGAAGAAGGUCUUCGGAUUGUAAAGCACUUUAAGUUGGGAGGAAGGGCAGUAAGUUAAUACCUUGCUGUUUUGACGUUACCAAAAGAAUAAGCACCGGCUAACUUCGUG